CCUACGGGAGGCAGCAGUGGGGAAUAUUGGACAAUGGGCGAAAGCCUGAUCCAGCAAUGCCGCGUGUGUGAAGAAGGCCUUCGGGUUGUAAAGCACUUUAGGCAGGGAAGCGGUACCUGAGGAAUAAGCACCGGCUAACUCUGUGCCAGCAGCCGCGGUAAUACAGAGGGUGCAAGCGUUAAUCGGAUUUACUGGGCGUAAAGCGUGUGUAGGUGGUCAAGAAAGUCGGUUGUGAAAUCCCUGGGCUCAACCCGGGAACUGCUUCGAUACUUCAUGACUCGAAUUCGGUAGAGGGAGGCGGAACUCCAGGUGUAGCGGUGAAAUGCGUAGAUAUCUGGAAGAACACCAAUGGCGAAGGCAACCUCCUGGGCUGAUUGACACUGAGACACGAAAGCGUGGGGAUCAAACAGGAUUAGAUACCCUUGUAGUC
rnacentral:rRNA from 1 species